rnacentral:rRNA from 1 species
AGUGAACGCUGGCGGUAGGCCUAACACAUGCAAGUCGAACGGCAGCACAGUAAGAGCUUGCUCUUACGGGUGGCGAGUGGCGGACGGGUGAGGAAUACAUCGGAAUCUACUUUUUCGUGGGGGAUAACGUAGGGAAACUUACGCUAAUACCGCAUACUACCUACGGGUGAAAGCAGGGGAUCUUCGGACCUUUCGCGAUUGAUUGAGCCGAUGUCGGAUUAGCUAGUUGGCGGGGUAAAGGCCCACCAAGGCGACGAUCCGUAGCUGGUCUGAGAGGAUGAUCAGCCACACUGGAACUGAGACACGGUCCAGACUCCUACGGGAGGCAGCAGUGGGGAAUAUUGGACAAUGGGCGCAAGCCUGAUCCAGCCAUACCGCGUGGGUGAAGAAGGCCUUCGGGUUGUAAAGCCCUUUUGUUGGGAAAGAAAAGCAGCAGGUUAAUACCCCGCUGUUCUGACGGUACCCAAAGAAUAAGCACCGGCUAACUUCGUG